ACUCUGCUGUGAGUGCCUGAGGAGACAGGACUACCUAGAAAUGCCUGAAAUGCCUCCUUUUCUACAAGCAUUCCCUCUAGCACGAGCUUUUCAUCCCUCCUACCGGAAGUGACUGCAUGUGCCCUCCCCUUGAACGGUACUAUAUGGCAAUCAAAGGCACAUUUUUCUGGUUAGGUCUCAUGGGAUGCUCACUCCGAAUGACUCACACCAUGCUGUGGGAAGCCCACAGUGGAGCAUGUGAGAAAGCUCCAUGAAGGGGCCUCAAGGGUUUUGCCAGAUCAGUUGAUAUCAGUAAGCAUUGUAUCAGCACUCCACAAAAGAGUACCUCUUGGUGGCUUCUACUUCCAGUCAGUGGGCCACCCUCAGUCACCAGGUCUUCCCAGCUGACACCUCACACAAAAGGGAGCAUAAACCAGCUCUUCUAAUUUCUGAUCCACCAAACUGAGUCCUGAAAUGCCUUGUUAUACAGAAGAAGUGGAAAGAAGGUCAGUUCCUGUCCACAACGUGCAUAACUCUAACUAUGCAGGGUUUGUCCAGUGACAGGCCUGCCUGUCAUAGUCGGCCAGCCUAUUGCAUCUUUGUAUCAUUUUUGUGGACUUCUCUAGGGCCAGAAGUGAACCUUAGCAGCCCUUAUUUUUACUUGGAUCCUCUUGACAUCAAAUGCCACCAACUGGACUGGACCUGUUUUCCUUUCUGAAAUUGGUUCUGAUCACCCCCACUCAUCAGAGUUUCUCUAUGGACCUCAAUUUUGUAGAGAGAGAUUUAGCAAAAUAAAUAAAAAAAGUACCAACUG
rnacentral:lncRNA from 1 species